GUCUACGGCCAUACCACCCUGAACGCGCCCGAUCUCAUCUGAUCUCGGAAGCUAAGCAGGGUCGGGCCUGGUUAGUAUUUGGAUGGGAGACCAAUACUUCCAUCUGUCUUCUUAAUCC
rnacentral:rRNA from 1 species